UACGAAGGGCGCUAGCGUUGUUCGGAAUUACUGGGCGUAAAGCGUGCGCAGGCGGCUUUCCAAGUCAGUGGUGAAAGCCCGGAGCUCAACUCCGGAAAUGCCAUUGAAACUGUGAAGCUUGAGAGCGAGAGAGGUGAGUGGAAUUCCCAGUGUAGAGGUGAAAUUCGUAGAUAUUGGGAAGAACACCAGUGGCGAAGGCGGCUCACUGGCUCGUAACUGACGCUCAUGCACGACAGCGUGGGGAUCAAACAUG
rnacentral:rRNA from 1 species